GGGUGCGUCGCAUAGCGGCAAUUGCACCACGCUGUAGACGUGGCGCCUUUAUGGCUACGCAGGUUCGAGUCCUGCCGCACCCA
rnacentral:tRNA from 1 species